rnacentral:lncRNA from 1 species
AACCCGUAGGCAUAAUCAGGUAAACCCUUCUCCUUUUUUUUAUUUUCUUAUGCAAAAAAAAAUACAUGCAAACUUCAAAGAAGAAGAUCCAUUCCAAAAAGGAAAAGAAAAAUGAGAUUUGAAAUCACCUUUCAAAAAAUAUCGACUUGAUUUUUCAUAUUUUUAUAUUUCUGUGUGCUUAAUAUGCGUGUGUUCGUAAGUAACCAUUACAAAGAUUGAAUCAUUGGCUUUAUAGCCGAAAAGAAAUUAAAAGAGAAAAAUACAAAUAAUUUCCUAUUGGCUGCCAUUCUCGCUGCUGUUUUUUGUUUCCUUUUGCAGGUACAGGUGCGUGGCGUGUGUACGAGGCUGUACUGGCGUACGAGGGUUGUUGACGUGGAGGCACGAGUGGCGUUGGGGUUGUACGACGGUUGAGGGCUGUGGCGCAAAGAGAGAGAACCCUAGGGUUCUAAAGUUGUAAUUUUUUGGGCCUAUCGGGCCUGUAUUUGGGUCUUGGGUCUUUAAUCAUGUAACUUGGACUGUUAUAAGACUUGGGUUUUAUAUUUAUUUAUUUUGUAUUUAUUUUGGGUUUCAAAUUGGCCGGGCAAAUUGGCCUAUUUACAGCUGCCCCUCUUUGUUCAUUGUCGUGUAACGAGACUAGAGCAAAGACUUCAAAGAGGGCAAAUUUUGCCCGGUUUCACUGAAUCAUGACUUUUUUCGGUGCUUCUUUUCUUCAAGCAACUUCAAUAUGCCCCACUGCAACUUCAGGGAGGCCCGAUUCACGUGUUUUUAUCCUGCUCUACUGCAACUUCAGAGAGAUAAGGAUUCUGACUUCGAUUUUGCUCCACUGCAACUUCAGGGAGACAAGAUCUACCGAAUUCAACCUACUCCACUACAACUUUAGGGAGCUAGGUUGGUGGUUUAAAUCUGCUUCACUGUAACUUCAGGAAGCCAAGAUUCACCGCUUUCGAUCUGAUCUACUGUAACUUCAGGAAAACAAGAUCUAAAAUUUCAGCCUACUCCACUACAACUUUAGUGAGAUAGGUUGGUGGCUUAAAUCUGCUUCACUGCAACUUCAGGAAGCCAAGACAUGUAGGAUUCGCCAAUGUCGCUACACUGUCUUCUAAAGACAUGAUUUGUGGAAUUGGUUUCCCUUAUCUGUGUAUGUCAAAUAAUUAGGAUGCCAUGAUCGAAAUGAGUCAAGUGCUUCUAACUAAAUGAAUGAUUAUGAAUGUAGAAAUGUCAUGAGAGUAAUUCCUUUUUAAAUGCUUAAGGUAUCAUUGUUUAUAGUUCAUGUGGGUUCUAUCAUUGAUUUGCUAUCGCGUUUUCUUGUCUAGCUGUCUUCUUUGGCAGAAAAUUUGAAGAAAUAAUCACAAUUAGGAAUAUUCUUUUUUCGAAUGUUUCCAACUUUUGAACCUGGUUAGUCCUGACUAGUGGCCCUGUUUCAGGUCCUUGUACUAUUUAGAGACUUUCCAGAGCAAUGUGCAUAACAUCUUUUGUGUGAAUAUUACAUGUCCAAAAAUCGCGAUUUCAACGAAAAUGCUCGAAAGAGAUUAUCAUAAUGGACAAAAUGAAAUUUUAUUGAGUAAAACUCGAAGUGAAUACAUGAAACAAGAUAGAAAAUCUGCUAAGGCACAAAAUAGAAUGAGAAAAGAGGUGCCCUAGAUAUCGCAGCAUGAGUUUCACUAUUCCAAUUUCUCAAAGGCUCAUUCGAACCAAAUGUGUAUUCAGAAGAUCCUGCGUAUUUUGCUGAUGCUCCAAGAUGUACUGUUAUUCCCUCUUGUUAAUUUUGGGAGGACAAGACUACCGCAUGCCUUAUACUCAAAAUUUGAGCUGCCCAUUUUUCGGGUUUUCAACUCAAAAUUCCCUUCGGUCUCAAAGUGCCCUUUGCAGGUUUUCACCUUAGCCUCUCCAUCUUCUUCUUCUUCUUCUUUUUUUGGUCAUUGAGCGCCCUUUGCGGGUUUUCACUCUGGCCCCCUCUUCUUUAGGUAAAAUACUUCUUGACCGAAUAUGAAUUUAUAGGAUUGGGCAAGUUUUUACCAUCCAUCUCGGCUAGAAUCAAUGCUCAUCCGGAGAAAGCUUUCUUCACGUAAGGCCCCUCCCAAUUACGCAUCCAUUUUCUUCUAAAAUAUUUCUGUAUGGGAAGGAUCUUUUUCAAGACCAGGUCUCCCUCAUGGAAUUCUCUAGGGUGAACCUUUUUUCGUAAGCCUGCAUCAUUCGUUUUUGGUACAUCUGACCAUGAUGGAUAGUCCUUAGCCUCUUUUCUUCAAUCAAGUUCAAUUGAUCGUAUCGAGAUUGGAUCCAUUUUGCGUCAUCCAACUUUAACUCUUACAAUACUCGAAGGGACGGGAUCUCAACUUCGAUCGGCAAGACUGCCUCCAUUCCGUAGACCAAAGAGAAAGGGGUUGCCCCGGUUGAGGUCUUGACUAACGUUCGAUAAGCAAAGAGGGCAAACGGUAACUUCUCAUGCCAAUCUUUGUAGGUCUCGGUCAUCUUCCCCACAAUCUUCUUGAUGUUUUUAUUGGCUGCUUCCACUGUCCCAUUCAUCUUCGAGCGAUAUGGUGACGAGUUGUGAUGUCUGAUCUUAAAUUGACUGCAGACUUUUACUAUCGUACUGUUGUUCAAGUUUAAUACGUUGUCAGAUAUGAUCCUCUCUGGCAUUCCAUAUCGACAUAUAAUCUCUUUUUUUAGGAACCUGCUUACUGCCGACUUUGUAAUACUAGCAUACGAAGCGGCUUCUACCCAUUUGGUGAAGUAGUCGAUAACCACAAAGAUGAACCAAUGCCCAUUAGAAGCCUUAGGUGAUAUUGGUCCAAUCACACCCAUACCUCACAUAGAGAAAGGCCAUAGAGAAGUCAUGACAUGCAGUGGCAAAGGAGGCACAUGAAUUUUGUCUCCGUAGAUUUGGUACUUAUGGUAUCUCUUGGCGUAAUUGACACAGUCUCCUUCCAUAGUGGACCAAUAGUACCCGAAUCUCAUAAUUUGCUUGGCCAUUGUAAAACCAUUAGAGUGUGUCCUACAGACGCCUUCAUGGACUUCUUCUAAGAUUUUCUUAGCUUCUAUAGCGUCUACGUAUCUUAAUAGUACUUGAUCCUUUCUUCUUUUAUAUAGGAUCUCCCCAUCUAAGAUAUAGUCGAUGGCCAAUCUUCUCAGCGUCCUUUUGUCAUUCUCACUUGCCUGGUCAGGGUACUCAAUAUUCUUUACGUAUUGCAAUAUAUCGUGAUACCAGGGGUGAUCAUCUUUUUCUUCAUCCUCUUCAAUAUUAUAACAGUGAGCCGAAUUUUCAUAAAUACUCAUCCGGAUGGGUUUGACAUCUUCUUGUUUGUUCACAUUGAUCAUGGAAGCUAAUGUGGCCAAAGCAUCGGCCAUCUGAUUUUCGUCCCGUGGAAGGUAGCAAAAAGUAAUGUCAUCCAACUCUUUGACCAAUUCAAGGACCAAUUUCUGAUAGUCGAUCAACUUGGGGUCUUUGGUCUCCCAUUCUCCCUUAAGUUGAUAAAUCACUAGCGUAGAAUCCCCAUACACCUCUAGCACUUUAAUCUUGCGUUCUAUGGCUGCACGGAUACCCAUGAUGCACGCUUCGUAUUCCGCCAUGUUAUUCGUACAAUCAAAAUCCAAUUUACUAGUGAAUGGAUAAUGAUCUCCAUUUGGGGAUACUAAGACGGCCCCGAUUCCAUUACCCACAGCAUUUGACGCCCCAUCGAAGUUUAGUUUCCAAGGAAGUUCUACCGGAGCACUCUCUGUAGUGGUAGCAACACACAUCAGGUCUUCAUUCGGGAAAUCGAAGUUCAAAGGUUCGUAGUUUUCCAAAGCUCUACUAGCCAGAAAAUCCGCUAUUGCACUCCCUUUUACUGCUUUCUGGUUCACAUAAACUAUAUCGAAUUCAAAUAGCAAAAUUUGCCAUCGGGCCAUCCUUCCAUUUAAAGUUGUUGACUCCAUCAUGUACUUUAAAGGGUCUAAUUUUGAGAUGAGCCAAGUGGUGUGAUACAACAUAUACUGCCUCAGCCUUCGGGUUGUCCAAAUUAGGGCACAACACAACUUCUCUAUUGGCGGGUACCUUGUUUCACAUUCCGUGAACUUUUUACUAAUAUAGUAAAUAGCUUUUUCUUUGCUUCCUGACUCAUCAUGCUGACCCAAUAUGCAUCCCAUGGAAUUCUCAAAUGCUACCAAAUAAAGUAUUAAUGGCUUAUCGGAGUUUGGUGGCAUUAGCACCGGAACGUUAGAUAAGUACUGUUUGACCUUUUCGAAAGCCUUUUGGCAUUCUUCAUCCCAUUCACCUGGGUUCUGUUUCUUGAGGAGGCGGAAGACAGGAUCACAUUUCUUGGUUAGUUACGAUAUGAACCAGGCAAUGUAAUUUAAUCUUCCUACAAAACCUCGAACCUCUUUCUGGGUACGCGGCGGGGACAGCUCUUGUAUAGCUUUGCCUUUGUCUGGAUUGAUUUCGAUCCCUUUCUCACUAACUACGAAUCCGAGAGGCUUUCCAGACUUGGCUCCGAAGAUACAUUUGGCCGAGUUGAGUUUUAACUGAAACUUCCUCAACCUUAAGAACAAUUUUAUCAGGACUUGCAUGUGCUCCUUCUCUGUUCGGGACUUUGAGAACAUAUCAUCGACAUACACUUCGAUUUCCUUAUGCAUCAUAUCAUGAAAGAGGGUUACCAUGGCUCUUUGAUAAGUUGCCCCCGCAUUCUUCAGUCCAAAUGACAUCACUUUGUAGCAGAAUGUGCCCCACAUAGUUACAAAUAUGGUCUUCUCCAUGUCUUUAGGAUGCAUCUUGAUCUGGUUAUAUCCGGAGAAACCGUCCAUGAAUGAAAACAAUGAGUGUCCUGCCGUGUUGUCCACUAGGGUGUCAAUAUGGGGCAGUAGGAAAUUUUCCUUCGGUUUGGCUUUAUUCAAAUCUCUGUAGUCCACACACAUUCGCACUUUUUCAUCCUUCUUAGGGACGGGGAUGAUAUUGGCUACCCAAUAUGAGAAUUUUACCACCUUCAGGAAUCCAGCGUCAAACUGCUUUCAAACAUCUUCAUUUAUUUUUAGCAAGACAUCGGGCCUCAUUCUUCGGAGUUUUUGCUGAACUGGCUUACAUUCUUCCUUUAUGGGGAGCCGGUGCAAUACGAUAUCAGUGUCUAAACCAGGCAUAUCUUGGUACGACCAUGCGAAGACAUCUAUGAAUUCUUGAAGCAAUUUCCACAAGGUCUCGCUUCAUCUCCAUGGUGACACAAGUUUCGAUCUUUACCUCUUGACCCUCUCCUAAGCUCACAAUUUCUACUGAUUCCUUGUGAGGUAGGAUUUACUUCUCGUCUUAUUCUACCAUUCUUAACAAAUCAGGGGAUAGGUUACAGCCUUGGUCAUCUUCGAAAUCCGGAGAAUCCUCCAUACACACAUCUCGCUCAAAAGAAAAUUCUGAGUCACUAGCAGUGUCACUCAUAUCAUUGAUAUCUGGGGACCUAUUAUGAGGAUGGAAGUAGAUACAAAAAAUUAAAAGAAUUUAAAAUAUUUAUCUGUAUGGUAUGAUUAUGAAUGACAAAUGAAAGAAUAUUUAGAAGAAUGUUUCAAAAAUAAAAGAAUCCGAAAGUAAUCAUUUGUAUGUUUAUAAGUGAAAUUUAAAGAAUGAGAGAACAUCUGCUCAAAAUGAUAAUAACCAUGCAUUUUAUUGAAAUAACGUUUUUAAACAUCAGCCUAUUUCACAAAAGAUUCUUAUUACUCCUAGGCCUAGAGCAAUAACUGUGUUUUGGACAUUACUCUGAAUCUAUUCUAAAAACUAUAGGAAUCUCUUCCGCAGUCCAGUUGUCAAGAACAAUUCCAGGUGUGUAGGGGCAAAUGCCCGACAAAUUUUCUUUUCUCGUCUCCUCUUCGUAUGUGGCGUUGAUGUCCAAGGUUUCUAGCCCUUCUUCUAUGGCUCCCUUCAUUGUUGUACCUCUCUCAGGAUGAAUGAUUCCUCCGGACACAAAGGUUUUCGAUAUGUGGGGAAAUAUCAUUGGUUCCCAUUUGAUUUCUUUCCCCGUUAACCGUGCCCUCCUUCUCUCUUGCUUCUUUUCCAACUCUUUUCUUCUUUGUCUUGCAUCUGGCUUAAAUCCUAAGUCAAACGGUCUCUCUUGUCCUUCAGCAUUGGUGUUUCAAUCCUUCCUUGUAGAUGUUUCUCGAGUCCUCUUCCGUGUAGGGCCCCCAUUCCAAUCGUCAACUGUAGGCUCAUCCUUGUGGUUUUGGACAAUUUUGGCACUAGAAUCUUGCUUCCUUCUGCGAUGAAGGUCGCAUUAACAAAUUCCAAAGAUCGAAAUGAACAUUCGAUUGCUUCAUCAUCCGUCUCCAAAUAGGGCGCAUUAUUGCUCAUAGUUGCAAUGAUAUCCUCUUCAGCAUUGAUCGUUAUCAACCUCCCCUCUAAUACCAGCUUCAACUUUUGAUGCAACGAAGAAGGCACUGCCCCAGCUGAAUGUAUCCAGGGCCUCCCUAAUAAGUAAUUAUAUGAGGGCUUGAUAUCCAUUACUAGGAAAUCCACCUCAUAUGUGUGUGGCCCGAUCUGCAGAGGAACCUCGAUUCUGCCCAUCACCCUUCUCUUCGUGUCGUCAAAUGCUUUCACUAUAUUCUAGCAUUCUUUCAUGUGAGAGCUGUCUACAGGUAAUCUGUUAAGUGUAGUCAAGGGCAAGACGUUCAAGGUCGAACUAUUGUCAAUCAGUACGCCUGACAGCGUAUACCCUUUAUAGCGCGUGGUGAUAUGCAAAGCUUUAGUUGACCCCAUGCCCCCGGGUGGUAUCUCAUCGUCAUUGAAGAAAAUAUAAUUGUCGGCACUGAUGUUGCUAACCAAACGGUCCAGUUUGUUAAUGGAGAUACCGUUGGUAACGUAUGUUUCAUUCAAGACCUUCAUCAAUACAUUGCGAUGAACUUUCGAGCUUAGAAGCAAGGCCAGAAUCGAGAUACGAGCCAAAUUUUUACGUAGCUAUUCCACCACACUGUAUUCGCUAUGCUUUAGGAAUUUUAAAAACUCCUUAGCCUCCUCUUCAUUAACUGGCUCGUUAAUAGAUUUGGUCAUUUUUUCCUUCAUUUCUUCGACCACUGGGGCUUUUCCUUUUAUGGGCUGUGUCUCCUCAUUUGCUGUAUCGUACCGUCUCCCACUACGUGUAUAGGAGCCCCCAUCUUGGUCCCCUUUUGAAGCAACAACCAGGCUUUCAUUUCCCAGAAUCGUCACAUUACAAUCAUAAUUCCAUGGGACCUUUUUGUUGUCUUUGUAGGGGAAGACUACAGGUCUUUGGAUUAUGACCCUCGGUGGCAUUUGUACUCCAGCUCCAUUCUUUUUAGGUCUCGAUAUGAUAACCAUGGGAUAGUUUGCUGUUUGAUUCUGUGCCGUCGAUUCUCCCUCCGACGCACAUAUAUCUCCCCCUACGGGGUCUUCGGUCUCUUUAUAGAAUUCCAUUUCCUUAUUAUCCAUCAUGUUCUGUACUAGGGCCCUGAAUUCCACACACUUUUGGAUUUCGUGCCCCAUCUUAUUGUAGAACUCACAGCAGUUCCUCUCUCUUUCAGAUGCUUCUCUUGAAUCCAACACGAUCAGCCCUCUCUCAACCAUCUCCUUCCACACCUAUCUCAACGGAGUCCUGACUUCCGCAACCUCACACUUAAUCCUCUUGUUUUUGCCUUCGUUUAUCCCAUUCACUCCUUGGUCGGUAUGAUUGGGAAGCAAAUUUCCUGCUACAUUGGGUACGACUGGGUCGUCAAACCUCACGAUCCCCAUCUUAAUGAGUCUUUCGACUAUUUUCUUGAACGCGGUACAAUUUUUGAUUGAGUGCCCGGUGAUUCCCGCGUGGUAUUCACAUUGGGCAUUUGUGUCAUACCAUUUGGGAUACGGGGGCUGCAAUGGCUUCAGGUACAAAGGAGACACUACGUGAGCGUUGAACAGGUUCUGGUAGAGCUCCCUAUAUGUCAUGGGUAUAGGGGUGAAUUGUGGCAUUUCUGUGUUCUCCCUUGCGUUAGAUUCUUGUCUUACAGAGCUACGUUGAUUGGUGGCUACCGUAUUUGGCUGAUUUACGGUAAGUGACUUGGACUGACCCUUGUUGAAUGUGCUCGUGUUGUUCAUUUCAUUAUCUCUUUUCCUCGGGGUUGACUUCCUAGCACUCUCUCCUAAUUCUAUCUUACAGCUUCUAACAACAUUUUUGAUCAUUUCCCCCGUCAUCACUAUGUCAGAGAAGCUCUUGGUAGCGCUUCCCAACAUAUGCAUGAUAAAAGGGGCCUUCAAGAUGUUGAUAAAGAGCAUCGUCGUCUCCUUUUCUAGAAGCGGUGGCUGUACUUGUAUGGCCACUUCUCUCCAUCUUUGUGCGUACUGUCUGAAGCUUUCAUUUGACUUCUUCUCCAUGUUCUGGAGAGUGAUUCUGUCGGGGGUCAUGUCUGUCACAUGAUUGUAUUAUUUCAUAAAGGCCUGAGCCAGAUUCUUCCACGAGUUAAUUUUAGCUCGGCUUAAUUGGUUGUACCACUUAGACGCCGCCCCGACCAGACUAUCUUAAAAACAGUAGAUUAAUAGCUGGUCAUUAUUAACAUAUCCCAUCAUUCGCCUGCAGAACAUAGUGAUGUGGGCUUCAGGGCAGCCUGUUCCAUUGUAUUUCUCGAAUUCAGGCAUUUUGAAUUUAGGGGGAAGGACUAAAUCUGGGACCAAACUCAGGUCCUUAGCAUCAAUCCCUUGAUGAUGAUCCGCACUUUCCAUGGCUCUGAAUUUCUCCUCGAGCCAUCUACACCGUUCUUCCAAUUGUUUUUGCGAAUCCAUCCUCGUCUUUUCUUCUUUAAAAACUUCAUCCAAAUCAGGAACGGGCGGAUAGUUCGGGUUGUUGACAAAGUUAGAGCCUGAGCUGGUUUGGAAGUUCAUCGGUAUUGAAGUUCCGGUCUGAACCUGCUGGGGCAUGAUUGUGACGGAUGGUUUUGGUAGAUAAAUCUCGGGCUUUAUCAGUACAUGUGUCAGAGUGAAGCCAGGGGGUAUUGAGGACCUUCAUUAGUUUCCUCAACAAUAUCCAUGGAGCCCUUUCCCUUAUCCGUUCCUCCCAACAGCAAUUGGGAUAACUGAGUCAUCAUUUCCCUUUGGAAUUCCAUCAUUUGUUCCUUCAUCUCUCGCUGAAUCUUAGCUAGCUACUCUUGCAUCUGAGACUGCAUUUGUUCUUGCAUGUCCUUUUGCAUUUGCUCCAAUUUCUCGAGUCUCUUAUCCAUUGAUUUUUUCCUUGUACCGUAGGGGUGGGUGGUUGGUUGGUUUUCAUUGGUUUCCAGGUUACUGAAGUGAUUUUUAAUUAAUUAAUUAGAAACCUCUUAUGGCCUUUAAUGCAUAAUGAUAUGAUGUAAUGCAAAUGCAUGAAUGUAAAGGAGGCAUCAAUUUUGAUUCAAUUCCCUUUAGAAAAUUUUACUUGAAAAUAAAAUCUUUUACAUAAAGUUGAGUUACAGAUAAAAUUUCGCUCUAACACUCAAAGUCGUAAAUUUUCUAAGCAACAAGGCCAGCUCUUGUCCGCGAUCUGACUCCAACUCAUACUUCACACUGAGUGUGUCUGCCUGUACCGCUAAAGUUUGCAAGUAGUCGGCUACCUCCCGAAUCUGUGUUAUGGCUUCCCCCGUAAGGUAAUCUCUGUUUUUGACUUGGUCUUGCGCAUGGUGAAGCUGCUCUUUCCAAUGAUCCUCGUUUACCUCAAAAAACUGGAUCCGCAUCUCACAGUUUUACAGUAACACCUCUAACUCUUCUAUUUUUCCUUUCAUUUCUUCUAUCUUGCUCAAGCUUGCCCUCAAUUCCAUUGCGGUGUUGCGGUUUCGGUACUGAUGCAGAGAUUUCUUAAGUUCUACCACUUUAGCCUUUGAUUCACCUCGCUCAUUUCUACUUUCCGACAGACUCUUCCUUAAGUCUUCGUUUCGUGCCUGAGCUUCUCGAAAUUUCCUUUCCCACAGGUCGGUAUUGGCUUUUUUCUUCUCGAAUUUCAUGGCGCCAUUGUCCGGAAGUCUUACCUAAACCUGCAGUCCUCAUAGAUAGGCGCAGCUUCUUGUAGUCUGCCUUCAAGCUGUUUAGAUCUUCUUCGGCCUUAGUUUUCCCUUUUCUCCACUUUUCAGCCUCUGUCCUCUGGACAUCAGCGUCUAACAUUAAGUGCAUCUUUUCUUCCUCCAAUUGUUCGAUCUUCUUCCCAAGUUUCGAACUCUUCUUCUCGAAAUCUUCCCUUAUAAUUUCCAAUUCUAACGGGGCGACUUGUAAUUGUUCCCCCAUAGGUCGAACACUUUCCAAGAUUAGCCUAGGAACAUUAUCAUUAACCCUCUUCUUAAACCAUCCGUCAUACUCGGGCGUUACCAUGGAGUCGAUGGCCAACCUCUUUAUCCAACAAAUUUGCUUCCAAGCAUCUGAUAGCUCCCGAAAUUUCUUCUUAUAGUGAGCACCCUUAAAAGAGAUUUCACUCUGAGCAAGUCCGUAGGUCGUGGGUACAAACUGCCUCGACUUAUAUUGCCUCAGCGCAAGUAAUAGAGUAUACCCGGUAGCUCCCCAAAUUCCUAACAACGGCACCCAAUCAAAGUUACCACAUUGGUACAUGAUCUCAUCAGAAACUAUUCAAUAAGCUCUCCACUCGAUAUCCCCCUCCUUGAGGUUCUGAAUAAUUUCCAUCCACUUCUCCUCCGAGAUAUUCUCUCUCCUUUGUAUAGCUACCUAUUCUUUUAACGGGGAAUAACCCUCGGAAAAGACCCGAUAGGAAACCUUGUCUACCUUCCAAAAGUUCCCAUGAAACCAUACUAUCAGUAAUUGUGCACAUCCAAAAAACUGCCCCCGCCUGUCUUCCAGCAUGAGCUCAAGAUCUGAACGUCUCAGCCAAUAUCGUCGGUACCGGUGUGAUUCCCUUCUCAAGGCAAUCGAAUAAGUCAAUGACUGCCUCAUCUACGUGCCUCAAAGCCUUAGGAAAAAUUACCAAUCCGUAGAUGCUUAAGGCGAAGAUGUCGUUCCUCUUUCUUUCAUCUGGAUGCGUCAAGAUCAAAUCUCGCAAAUUCUCCCAAGGAAUACAUUUACUAUCUCCUUUUUGUUGAAUUCGAGCAGUGACCCAAGGCUCGCUCAUCCCUGAAAUGCUCAUCAAUUUCUUCACGAAAGCCUGACUAUUAAAAACCUGGACAUAAGUCUUUCGGACCUGAAUUUUUGGACACCUGAGCAGAGUAGUGUAUUCCUCUAUGGUAGGUACUAAAUCCACUUCUCCAAAGGUGAAACACUUGUACACAGAAUUCCGAAACUAAACUAUAACCCGAAAUAGAUGCUUCUGCAUUCUAAUGUCUAGCAAGUAGGAUAUAUCACCGUAGCCUUAGUAAAACAACUGCUUGAUCCCUUCAUCCCAACUAGCCCAAAUGUCUCUCAACUCUUGCAACUCAUUCUGUACUACAUUGACACGAAUGAAAUCCUGCAACUCCGAUAUAUACCCUUCUGCCAAGCUAUCCCCUCUCUCUGAUUGUAGCCUCUCCGACCAUGCACGAAUGGCUGAAUUAUCCUCGACUUUACUAAGAAAUUCAUUCUCUAUGUCAAACUUUCUAACUUAGUAAUUGAAUACGGAUUAACACCUCCUUUAAUAUGCAAUGUCAUGCAAAAAAAAUAAUUAAAACAAAACAUAGGUUAGUAUCAGAUAAUAGCGAUAAAAUGCAAGCACAUAAAUUACAACGCAUAUAUGGGUAAGUACUAAGGCUCGACGAGGCUCCACCGAAGGAUAGCUCCUAAGGUUCAUUAUAUGUGGUUCGGUUCUAGAGAUAAGGUACCCGAACCAGCAGAUUCCUCAAUCUUCACCCAUUAUAGGCUCAUAUAGAUUGAGUUCGGUUCGGGGGGAUACAUUUCCUAUGACCAUGCGGAGAUGAAAAUCUCACGAAAUCAUAGGUACGGAUGUACCCCGGAAGCAAUCCACUAGCCCAUGUGGAGGUGAAAACCUCACGAAAGCGUAGUUUCUUACUCCCACUUAGAAGGUGUGACCACAGCGAUCAUGCAAUAAAAUGCAGUACUAUUCUAUGAGAUCCAAACCAUAACAAUCAUACAAAUGAAUGCAAUCAUGAUUUUCAAAGCAAGUUUUCGAUUUUCGACAGAAGGACAGCAAAUAAUCGAUUUUAUGGCUAGACUUUCUUAAAGGUUCCCCAGUGGAGUCGCCAAGCUGUCGAAACCACCCCUUUUUGAAAAUUUUAUAAUUAAUGAAAAUGGGGGAAUCGACUUUUGAAAAACAGAAAUAUGAAGUCGCCACCGAUCCUUUUGUUUGGUGUGAUCAGAUCACCUAAGAAUGAGGUUAUUUUAAUAAAACAUUUUUAGUUUACUAAAACAACGAUUUUGGUCUACGAAUUUUGAGAAAAUGGGUUCGAAAGUCGGUUACGUAUGAGGAAGGGUUAGCACCCUUACUACGCCCAAAACUGGUACCAAAUCUAUUAAAUACUGCCUUAUGUCUAAAAUUAAAAUUAUUUUUGAAAUGUGGUUCCUUUUUUAAUAACAUUUGAAUAACCCGAGUUGGUUGCCAGAAUCUUCUUGUUUUGACGUCCGAAAGUUUAUAAUUUGAAAAUUACAAAAGGGUGUCCAACAAUUUGGUCCAACGAAAAACCAAAACCCAGCACAGUAGGGCACGAUUCCUCGAAUUUCCAAACAUUGAACAUUGCCUCACCUUAGAAAAUACGAGUGAAAUUCCGAAGAGAUAUUCAAUUAUUUUGAACAAACGAGAAAUUGCAACCCAGCACGAUAGGGUACUAUUCCCCGACUUGCCAAACAUCGAACAUUUUUUUCGUUUUAAAGGGUUUUUAGAAAACGUGAGUGAAAUUCCGAAGGGAUCUUCGAUCGUUUAGAACAAAUGAAAAAAGCGUAACCCAGCACGAUAGGGCACGAUUCUCACAUUGCCAAACAUUAAACAUUAUUUGUUUUGAAAGGUUUUUAAUAACCAUGAGUGAAAACCUAAAGGAAUAUUUGAUUGUUUUGAACAAACGAGAAAUCACAACCCAACACGAUAGGGCAUGAUUCCCGAAUUGUCAAACACCGAGCAUUGCCUUCGUUUUAAAGGAUUUUUAGAAGACAUGAGUGAAAUUUUGAAGGGACCUUCGAUUACUUUGAGCAAACGAGAAAUUGCAACCCAACAUGUUAGGGCACGAUUCCACGAAUUGUCAAAUAUCGAAUAUCGCCUUCGUUUUAAAUAAUUGUGAAACUAGCUUAAAAUGUAUUAAUUCGAUUUGAAAUAAGACGAAAUUAACCAUAAAAUUUGGAUUUUAUAAAACCACAUUCCAAAAAUCGAGUGGAAAACGAUGAUAUGGGAUGAUGAUAUAUGUGUACGCAUCAAAAUACGACAAUGGAAAAAUGAAGAUAAUACAAUUUAUUUAAUCAACUACAAGAACUUAAAUGACUAAGCAUAACUAGUUUGGAAAUAUAACUCCAUCUCAAUCAUGCAUAGAGAAUAAUUAACAUGACAAUAUGAAACAACGAAUGAAUAAUGUAAUGAUAACAUGCAUGGCACAACGUAACAUGACUACUACUAGAUACACAAAACAAAAAUGCAAAGCAACGAAGUAAUAUGGUAUGAAACUAUUCCAAAAAACGAUAAAUAAAUGGACACAUAAAAUGUAGGUUGACAAAUUUGUAUAUAAAAAGAAAACUAGGGAUAGAUAUAUAUAACUUUGAAAUGGAUAUUAUAGAAUGAAAGUUUGAAUCAAGUUGCAUGUAAAAUAUUUUAAACACAAAUAUAUUUAAGAGUUGAUAAACUACAUGAUGAUUUAAAUAAUAUAUAAUGCAAAAGAAUAAUAAGGAUACAAGAUGAGAUAUAACAGACAAAAUAGAUUUAUAAAAAAAUAUAUAUACACGUAAAUCUAUUAAAAAACAUGAGAUUAAUAAUAAGAUACCUAUAAAUUCUUUUUAAGAUAAUCUAAAAAUUAUACACAUCCUUAUAUCAAAACAUUUAAAAUAAUAGACUAUAUAUACACAAAAGCAAUAUAAUAUAAAGAUAUACUCAAACAACAAUAAUUUUAUAAUUACAAAAAAAACAAUGAAAUUUCCAAAAUUAUUUCAUAUACAUAAAGAAAAUACUUGAUAAAUCACAAAGCAAAAAGUGUUUUAAAUAAAAAAAAUAUUAAAGUAAUAAGUGUAUUAAUAUAUACAUAUGAUUUUAAAAGCAAGUACACGCAAAAUAACAUUGAAAUAUAUGUAGGGCUAAAUUAAUUUUAUUAUAAACUACAUAGUAGAUUUAAGAACAUACUUGUAUAUGUAAGAAAACUACAAAUAUAAAAUGUAUAGAUUAAAUACUGAGUGUCCACAAUGUAUAUACAUAUAAUGACAAUAGCUCAAAAGACAUUACAUGGGUUAUAUAAUGCAAUACAAAAAUAAGUUUUAACAAGGUAUGGCAAACAACAUAAGGUUAAUAUAUAUAUAAUAAAAUUAGCUUUAAUACAAAGUAUACGUGUGUAUAUAUAUAUAUAUAUAUAUUUAAACAAGUGGUUAUAUGAGAAUGUUAAAAUAACUUAAUGCACAAAGAAAUUCAAAGUGACUUUACAAAACAAAACAAAGUUGUGCAUGUACAAAUAUACAUGUAUAUAGAAAAUAAAAUAAAAAUAUUAACAUAAUAAAAAGAAACUUCAAGACAAUCGUAUGAAUAAGUAGUUAAGAAUACAAGUUAUAAACUAAAAGGGUUUAAUUAGAAUCAAUCCAAAAUCAAAGGGAUAAUUUGAAAACAAAACAAUAAAAAAAGGGACUAAUGUGUAAUGCGCGCAAAUGCACAGGGGCUCGAUCUGGGAAUAUCUCAGGCUCCCAAAACGCAGCACACACGUACGGAUCAGACUGCAAUAAAGCGCAAAUCGCAAGCCUAAAUCAAAAAAAAAGAAGAAGACGCAUAAGGCCUGCGCGAAUAUGGAGGACCUGGCGUGCAAGCCUAAAAAAAAAAGAAGACGCAUAAGGCGCAUUCGAAGGCCUGCGCGAAUAUGGAGGACCUGGCGUGCAAAUUUCCCGCUCUGCAUGAAAAGGCGCGGAUCCGGGUCGCUAUCCAGGUUGACGCGCGGACCUCCAAUAUCCCCAAACGGCGCCGUUUGGUUCUUUGCCUAAAAUUUUAAAGAAAAAGAAUGGCAUUUUGCCAUUUUCUCUAGUUACAGGCCAAAUACCCACUUGUUAGGGUUUCAGCGCCGCAACCUUCACCCUUAGGGCCGACUCUUGGGUUUCACCGGCACUCAAUUUGCCUCCACCGCCGCCAAGACCCAAGGCUCCCCCUUUUAAUUUCGUUUCCACGCCAGAGGGACUUCGACGCCGAACCCGUAGGCAUAAUCAGGUAAACCCUUCUCCUUUUUUUAUUUUCUUAUGAAAAAAAAACACAUGCAAACUUCAAAGAAGAAGAUCCAUUCCAAAAAGGAAAAGAAAAAUGAGAUUUAAAAUCACCUUUCAAAAAAUAUCGACUUGAUUUUUCGUAUUUUUAUAUUUCUGUGUGCUUAAUAUGCGUGUGUUCGUAAGUAACCAUUACAAAGAUUGAAUAGUUGGCUUUAUAGCCGAAAAGAAAUUAAAAGAGAAAAAUACAAAUAAUUUCCUAUUGGCUGCCAUUCUCGCUGCUGUUUUUUGUUUCCUUUCGCAGGUACAGGUGCGUGGCUUGUGUACGAGGCUGUACUGGCGUACAAGGGUUGUUGACGUGGAGGCACGAGCGGCGUUGGGGCUGUACGACGGCUGAGAGCUGUGGCGCAAAGAGAGAGAACCCUAGUGGUCUAAAGUUGUAAUUUUUUGGGCCUAUCGGGCCUGUAUUUGGGUCUUGGGUCUUUAAUCAUGUAACUUGGACUGUUAUAAGACUUGGGUUUUAUAUUUAUUUAUUUUGUAUUUAUUUUGGGUUUCAAAGGGGCCGAGCAAAUUGGCCUGUUUACAACAUUGAUAGCAAUAAAUCUCUUACAUGAAUUAUACCUACAUUUUUGAAUUUAAAGGACUUAGCUGUUCUUGGCUUUCUACCUAGAGGCAAAGCUAGGGGGGCUGGUAGGGGCCCCACCCCCCAAAAAUAAUAAAUUAUUAUUUAGACUCUUUAAAAAAUUUUAAAAUUUUAAAUUAGUAAAGGUAAAAUUGCACUUUGGCUCCCC